rnacentral:snRNA from 1 species
UUAGAUACCACAUCAGUUCUCAGGGCAAAGCCUACCCAUUGCACUUCAGGUGGGAAGGGUGACCCCUGCGAUUUCCCCAAAUGUGGGAAAGUCGACUGUAAAUUUUGUAGGAUGCAGGAGAUGAUUGAUCGGCUGG